rnacentral:rRNA from 1 species
GCAGAUCAGAAUGCUGCGGUGAAUACGUUCCCGGGUCUUGUACACACCGCCCGUCACACCAUGGGAGUCGGAAAUGCCCGAAGCCGGUGACCAAACCAAUAAGGAAGGAGCCGUCGAAGGCAGGUCUGAUAACUGGGGUGAAGUCGUAACAAGGUAUC